rnacentral:rRNA from 1 species
AUGACGAUCAUGCGGAUGUUCCUAGCUCUCUGCGCCCUUGGGUUCGUCGCAGGAGUAGUAGAAGAUGGAUCGUCGUUUGACGUCAGCGCUUACCCGGUCAAGUGGGAUGAGGACCCAUCUGUGGGAUCAGGGGACGUGGCCGCUCCACCGUCUCCCGGUACUGAGGCGCCGGCGCCGCCUCCGAAGCAUCACAUGAUGGUGAAGAAGGGCAUGCUGUUUCUGGAGCGCGACCUCUUUGCCGGGGCGCUCCUGCCGGCAAACACCCGGCUGGGCUACGUCAGACGCACGAGUUCACCAGGCCCAGUCAUUUCAAGUACUACAAGCCCAGUACCACCCUUCAGGUACAGCAGUUUCGAGAAAAUCUUGAAGUUUUACAAUGUAACGCACGGCUCCAAGCAAGCAGGGAGGAUCUCGGAGACUCUCCAGUUCUGCGAGGAGGCGGGAGACAAGGAACCACACGCGUGCGCAACGUCUGUGGCCGCCGCGAGAGACUUCGCGGCCACCGUUUUGGGGACCAAGGAGCCGCGCGCGGUCACUUCAAUCCUUCACGGACGCACACAACCCCUCCGCUACGUGGUGGCGCCCAACGGAAUCGCCAGCGUCGGCGGCGACGCGGUGGUGCCAUGCCACCCCCUGGCGUACCCUGUGGAGGUCUUUUACUGCCACAACCCCAGCAACGUGCAAGCGCUCCGUGUCCAACUUGUUGGACAGGAGGACCCUUCCGUCGGCGCCACGGCCAUCGCAGUAUGCCACAAGGAUACCAGCUACUGGGAUGAGGCAUACUUCAUGAUGCUCAACGGAUCCCGUGGCGAGCCGAUAUGUCACUUCAUGCCGGCCAAUUACCUUCUGUGGCUCUAG